rnacentral:lncRNA from 1 species
CUAUCAUAUGCUAUAUCAUUUUUGUAUGGCUGGACUUUCAUUGAUGUUUGACGUACAUACUUAUAUUGAUUAUUUGAGCCUGUUGAUAGCCGGUUUAUGAUUUCAUGACAUGUGCAUUGAUUUCUUAUGGUUUCAAAUCUAUAUUAUUAUUGUGUUGGCGUAGAUGUAUAGGGGUUCUUACUGGGCUGUAAAGCUCACCCCCCUUCUUCUUUCUCUUUUCAGAGUUGCAGGAUACAUAGACAUGGAUGGGUUGGGCGCGAAGCGCGAGCAUUAAAGUUAUUAGUUAGUUAGUUAGUUUAUCUUUCUUUGAUGCCAAUGAGCAUUUGAAGAUCUUGUAAUUGAACCAAUUUAAUUAUCUGGACAUGUUAGAUUUAUCUAUUUGAAUUAAGUAAUUAACUAUGGAAUUAUCGGAUUUUUGUUCAUCUUAGGCCUUGCAUGAUCUUUAGGGCACUGCUCUAGGGCUCAUGCAGCCGGUCGCGUACCGGACCCGGAUGCUGGGAUCGGAGCGUGACAGAGUCGUAUCAGAGCUUAAGGUUAAGGUAUCCUAGGGUUUAGGUUCAGGUGAGUGUGAGUGGAGAAUUAUGAUAGAAAGACUAUCAGAGCCUUGGUUUAUAAUCACUUGAGAUUGGAACAAGAAUGAUAUUAUAAUCUAAGGUUUAAGACCACUAGGGACUAUGGCCUUAGUAGCAUUAGAGUUUGAGGUUUAAGAUCAUUGGGGAUAGUGACAAAAUUAGAACCAAAGCAUAAGUUUAGGAUCGCCAGGUAUUGCGAUAGAAUUGUGUCAGAUCUUGAGGUUAUGAUCAUUCUAAACUUGACAUAAAGUAGCAGAAUUAAAUUCAAUGCUUAGGUGUAAGAUCACUAGGCAUUGUGAUAAAAUAUAAGUAUUGGGUUUGAUAUUCGAUGAGUACGAAACGAUUGGAUAAAUUGUCUCUGAUCAUGAUACGAGAGGUUAGACCUAACGUAAGUG